rnacentral:snRNA from 1 species
GUGCUCAUUUCGAAAGCAUAUAUUCUACAAUUGGAAGGAUAUCUAGAAGAUUAGCAUGGUCUCUGAACAAGUAUAAGAUACAAAUUUGUAAAGCAUUUCAUAUUUUU